UACGGAGGGUGCAAGCGUUGUCCGGAUUUAUUGGGUUUAAAGGGUGCGUAGGCGGCCUAUUAAGUCAGUGUUUAAAGUCAACAGCUUAACUGUUGGAAUGGCAUUGAUACUGAUAGGCUUGAGUAAAGUUGAGGUAGGCGGAAUUGAUGGUGUAGCGGUGAAAUGCUUAGAUAUCAUCAAGAACAUCGAUUGCGAAGGCAGCUUACUAAGCUUUAACUGACGCUGAGGCACGAAAGCGUGGGGAUCAAACAGG
rnacentral:rRNA from 1 species